AUUGAACGCUGGCGGAAUGCUUUACACAUGCAAGUCGAACGGCAGCACGGGGCAACCUGGUGGCGAGUGGCGAACGGGUGAGUAAUACAUCGGAAUGUGCCCAGUCAUGGGGGAUAACGUAGCGAAAGUUACGCUAAUACCGCAUACGAUCUACGGAUGAAAGCGGGGGAUCGCAAGACCUCGCGCGAAUGGAGCGGCCGAUGUCGGAUUAGGUAGUUGGUGGGGUAAAGGCUCACCAAGCCAACGAUCUGUAGCUGGUCUGAGAGGACGAACAGCCACACUGGGACUGAGACACGGCCCAGACUCCUACGGGAGGCAGCAGUGGGGAAUUUCGGACAAUGGGCGCAAGCCUGAUCCAGCCAUUCCGCGUGCAGGAUGAAGGCCUUCGGGUUGUAAACUGCUUUUGUACGGAACGAAACGGUUCUCUCUAAUACAGGGGGCUAAUGACGGUACCGUAAGAAUAAGCACCGGCUAACUACAUGCCAGCCGCCGCAGUAAGAC
rnacentral:rRNA from 1 species